AGAUAAAAGAAAAGAAAAAAUAAGCGUCGCCGAAUUGGCUAAAAUUACCUAAUGUUAAAAUGAUUGUGCUGGAUACUCCACAGUCCACACUGGCGCAGAUUUAAUAAUGUACAAAACCUUAUUGUAUUCUGCGCCACUAGAUGGCAUAUUGGGGCAUACGGAUCCUGGGAGGAGAAGAAGAAGAAGUGCAUGUUGUUGCUGCUAGCUAGCUACGUACUCACUCUGCCUGCGGUGGAUUGUUUUAUUCCGUGUCAAUUUAAAACUACUUCAGUAAAUGUAUUAACUUUACACCGAGCCUCUUCAUUGCCUACUGCAAAACAACUUUUUGCACCAGUUCGUCACUGAUGGCUUAUCAACGCGGCGGCAUCCUCAUCAUGGCACAGGUUCAUCAGAGUCAGGUGGUCAGCACCCAAACUAAAACCAUGGGUCAUGGUGAAGAAGGAUGAGAGACUGUUCUAUGUGCCCAGGGUUCGUCAGGAUGGUGUCUAAGAAUUACAUCCUAGCAGCACAGAACAGGAAGCCAUCGUGAAGAAGUUGCCGGAGAGGCUUCGCUUGGCCUUUACCAGCACCUCACUAUCAGUGAUGCUGGUCUCCUUAUCCACCGUGCCUACCCCCACAUUCCUCCCUUGAUGCAUUCAUCUCCUGACCUGUACCUGUUGUGGGCUGAGUCAGUGAUGACACACAGUUGUGAUAAUAACAUACAUGUAUAUGAAAUAACUGAAAUGAUGUCCGUCCAGGCAUUUCCUUUGGUAUUUUAUUGUACACAACUCAGAACAUGUUCCCUGUCUGUCUAUAUUGAGUCUAGCCUAAAACUAAUUACUUUAGUUCUAUUGUCUCCAGCAUAUGUACGUAAUCUACGUAUCCAGUUACAUGGGUAUUUUGGUGCCUGGAUUAGACUGCAUGUAAGUAAUAAUAUGAACUCAGGUCAGGAUACCACAGUAGUUCAGAUAACCAUUCAUUAAUAUAAAAUGCACAUGUUUUGUAUAGGCCUAUGUCCAUCCCAGGAUAGACAUCCCCUCGUAUCACCUUUGUAACUAAAAUACAUUUGUA